rnacentral:rRNA from 1 species
CCUACGGGGGGCAGCAGUGGGGAAGAGUGCGCAAUGGGCGAAAGCCUGACGCAGCGACGCCGCGUGAGGGAUGAAGGUCUUCGGAUCGUAAACCUCUGUCAGCAGGGAAGAACGGUCACGGGGCGAAGCAGCAGUGAAUUGACGGUACCGGCAAAGGAAGCACCGGCUAACUCCGGGCCAGCAGCCGCGGUAAUACGGAGGGUGCGAGCGUUAAUCGGAAUUACUGGGCGUAAAGCGCUCGUAGGCGGUAGGUCAAGUCAAGGGUGAAAUCCCCGCGCGCAACGUGGGAACUGCCUUUGAACCUGGCAACCUGGCUUGUGUGCGCGGCUAG